AGAAUGCAUUUUGAUGAAAUAAACCAAGAAGAUGAAAUUAUGGCAUUUCAGUUUCGCCUUACAAAUAGAGGUGAUCGAUAUAUUUUUGCUGCACCAACUCAGCGGGACCUUGAGGUAUCUCUAGCUUAAUUACAAUUAAAAUCUGCUUACACAAAAUAAUAAAAGACAAGAUGCUCGUAAACAUUUGAAUAAUAAUGAUAACAAUAAUAAAUUCAACAUUUACAUCUAAAAAAACUAGUCUUUUGAAUUGUGUAAAAACAAAUAUGGAAAUCUAGAAAGAAAACAAGUAAAUAAAAAUAGGGUUAUUAUAGAAACAAGACGUGAAAUGAUUGCCAAUGAGUCAUCUCUCCAAAAGAGAUCAAAUGAUCAAGAAAUUUAAAAUUAUAGUUCAAUGCACGUCGACCUCAAACAAAAUGCAAAACAACACAGAUCAAGCUAUAAGAGGCCUAUAGUUGACAAAUGUAAAACAAUUUAAACUAACAGCCUGAUUUCUGUUUACAAAACUAUAAACCAGAGAGAGUAUUAUUUGGAUGUAUAAUGUUAUAUCAUAACUUUUUUUUAUGAAGCUUACAAAAGAAGUCACUUUAAAAGAAUUAAGGGUUUAAUACUUAACUGUAUUCCAAUGAUUCACAUAGGCUUAUGGAAAUAUCGGGUUCCGUCUUCGUGGGUCUCUUUGGUAUACAAUCUAAGUUCCCUUACGUGUGAUAUAAUAAAAUAUACAAUAAAAUUCACUUCCAGCUUGUUGUAAGCAGUCAGGAAAUCUAAUUUGUUUAAUUGGUUUUUUUUACUAUGGUAUUGCCUAUUUUUCUUUGACUUUUUUUAUUCUCCCAUGUUAUCUUGUUUUUUAUGUUUUUAAGAUAUAUCUCAGUGUAACUGAUAGCAUGCAUUGUUAAAUUUUAACGAGAGAAAUUUAUGUAUUACUGAAAAAUUAUUACACCAGUGUUUUCGAUAUCACAAACUAGUCAAACCAUUUACUAAAUUUUAUCAUCGGUAUAAGGACAUCAUUCGUAAAAUUAGCUCAACAUGCAAACUUCUUAUACGUUCAGGUAUUUCACAUCCAUUUUUUUAUGGAAAUAUUCUGUGUAAAGCACAAACAUGUCAGUAUUCACCUCAGAAGCUUACAAAACCUUUAAAUAAUCUUAUUAAGAAGGGAUAUAGUUACGAUACUGUUGUCAGGUCAUUAACGAUUUUGGCGUUAAUAUUGAUUCACUUAUAGGGUCUUUGCAUCGGAACUUAAACACAUUUAUUUAAAAACCAGUUGUUGGCAUGACGCGGGUUAUGUUCUUCUCAUAUAUGUUAUGAUGGAUGAUACAAAAUCCCUAACUGGAAGGAUUGGGUCUGAUAUCCAUAUGAUGAAGACAUAAUAUUUCAAUCAGUUUAAUUGAAGUCUGGAGCUGGCCUGUCAGUUAACUGCGAGUAGUCUUGUUAUUUUUGUAUUAUUGCCGUUUUGUUUAUAUUCUUUGGUUACAUCUUCUGACAUCAGACUUGGACUUCUCUUGAACUGAAUUUUAAUGUGUGUAUUGUUAUGCGUUUACUUUUUUUUACAUUGGCUAGAGGUAUAGGGGGAGGGUUGAGAUAUCAUAAACAUGUUUAACCCCAUUUCAUUUUUGUCUGUGGCCUUUGUUAGUCUUGAAUUGUUUUUAAUCUUAGUUUCUUGUGUACAAUUUGGAGUUGAGUAUGGCGUUCAUUAUCACUGAACUAGUAUAUAUAUUAAUUUAGGGGCCAGCUGAGGGACGCCCCAGGGUGCGGAAAUUUCUCGCUGAAUUGAAGACCUGUUGGUGACCUUCUGCUGUUGUUUGUUCUAUGGUCGGGUUGUUGUCUCUUUGACACAUCCCCCAUUUCCAUUCUCAAGUUUAUUGAUAUGAGAACACACACUAUAAAGCUAUCUACACAGGUGAACUGUACAGUGAAAACACAGAACAGGGUUAUAUUAAACCCACCAUUUCCUCGGAAACUGAUGCCUGUACCAAGUCAGUAAUAUGAUAUGUUUAUCAGUUCUUUCAUUGGUUGUUUUGUCAGGUUUUAUAGAAUUCCCCUGAUUUCAACUUACUUGAGAUUUUUUUUUUUUUUUUUUUACUUUUUUGUAAGUGCAUUGAUAUUCGUAAUUAAACUAUAAUCUAGUUUUUGUCCGUGUCUUAACAGUACUGGACAAAUGGCUUCAGAAAAGAAAUACAGUAUGCAAACGAGGAGAACCGGACAACGCCUAGUGAGCAUGAUUAUAUUUUCUUGUAAGUAAUGAAAUAAAAUACAUAUAAUUGAAUUCGAAUGAGUUGCGAAGUGUGCAGUGAUGGGUUUGGAUAAUGUUCAAUUUUAAUGGUCAUCCUUCUUCCAGGCUACAUGUAUGCAUGCAAAUUGUUUGGAAGAAUGUUUCUACUUUUAGUUUAAUCUUGAGUGGAGCAGAAACCUUAGAUUUAACAUCAAAAGUCGGACAAAACAGAGGCGGAAGAUACCAAGGGGUCACAUGAAAGCUCGUAGUAGGAAGAUUAGCCUACAACGCUAUGACAAGAUAAAAACAGUUUACAAAAAAAACAUGGCAUAGAAACUUAAAGUCUGCACAGAACAAACUCCUAAAGAUGUGAUAUCUGGUGCUUUUGAUGGAUAAGAUGCUCCUAUAAAUGGGGCCUAUGAUAACUGAAUGAGCUGAAAAUAAAUGUGUAUUGAUUUAGGAUAAAAAUAUAUGAAAUCCUAUUUAUUCUAUAUGAAAUAACGAAAUGAAUUAUUCAUGCUCUUAGUGGCAAACUAUUCGAUAGAUUAUGAUUGUUUUGACAUUGGUUAGAUUACGCAGUGCCAGUGUCAUAUAGAUAUCAAAUAAACUCAUCAUAGAUACCAGGACUAAAAUUUUAAAUUACGCCAAACGCGCGUUACGUCUACAAAAGACUCAUCAGUGACGCUCGAAUAAAAAAAUGUUAAAAAGGCCAAAUAAUGUACGAAGUUGAAGAGCAUUAAGGACCAAAAAUUCCUAAAAGUUUUUGCCAAAUACAGCUAAGGUAAUCUAUUCCUGAGGUUGAAAAGCCUUAGUAUUUUCAAAAAUUCAAAGUUUUGUUAACAGUUAAUAUUUAUUUAAUAGGUACAGGUAUUCAGGAUACUCAAUUUUUCAAAAAAAAUUGAAAUUAAAAAGACCCUUGUUUGCAAAUGACAUUUUUAGAAAUAAAUAUGUCCAAUGUCAACCGAUUUGUAAAGUCUGGGAUAGAAAUUAUCAAUUAUAAUUGCUGUUGAGUUAUAUCGUCCAGAAUUAAUGGACAUUUGUGACAGCGUUGUUUAUCACGAAUUUGUUUAAUUUAGACAACAUUUGGAAGUUCAAGUGAGCGUACGUGAAAAAAAUAAGGAGGUCAAAAAGUGUGAAAAUUAAUGAUGAACAAUAAGUGUACAAAAAUUAAUUAAAUUACAGUCACACCAUGAUCUUUUCUUUCAUCAUUCGUGCCGCUGAAAAUCACAACAAAUUUACCUAGUUAUAUCAUAAUCAUUGCAGUUUAUACACAUUUAUCAUAUUUUGUUCUUUUUAUUAAAGAGAUAAAAGAAACAAACACUGACACAACAAAUUAAGUGUGCUCAAAAAUUAAAGAAAUGAGUAUCAGCUGAUAUUUCAAACGCAUCAUCUUAAACAAAUAUUAAGAUUUUAUAACUUUUAUCUUUAAAUUUGUAUAUAUAUAAAGUCUAAAUCGUUGGUUCAGGUUGUUCUUUUGAUCUAAGAAAUAUUCAUGCAUAUUUUGUGUGUCAUUUAAAAUUCGAAAAUAUUAUUAGUUACAUAGUGUGUUAGUGACCUAAUAUGAUAUAUACAGGGUCAGUAAAUUCCAUAUGGGGUUAGAGCGAAUUUAUCUUACCGACUAUCUUUAUUUGUUGAAUUUAAACUAAAGUGGUCUUAUUUGCUAUCAUAACACAUCUUCUUAUUUCUGUAUUCAAGUGUUCAAUUUUAAGAGACUUCUUCAAUUGGUCUGCACUAAAAAAAUUAUGUAAACGAUAAAUAUCAACAACCUGGAUAUAACAACAUUCAACAGUCACCACGAGGUCGCUUUUAACCAAUCAUAUUGCUAGAAAUGUAUAGGAGGUAAGAUAAAUAUCAGUCCUGGUAUCUAUGAUGAGUUUAUUCACAUAUCAUUGUAUUUUAUUUCUUUAACAAAACAACUAACUCACUAGUUCUAUGUGAUUUGAAAUAUUCCAAUUAAAUAUUACAGAGUUGAAAGACAAACAUCGAUAGACCAUUACGAUGAAAUUCAUGAUGUGCUGCCUAUCUGUAAGAUGUUAAAUAAGAUUUGUAAUUAAUACUGAUUAACAUGAAUGCAUUACGAUUUCGUUUCUUAAUACUCC
rnacentral:lncRNA from 1 species